CUAUGCGCCUUGCCACGCCGCUCAGUCAGAGUUUGAUCCUGGCUCAGGACGAACGCUGGCGGCGUGCCUAAUACAUGCAAGUCGAGCGAAUCUUGAGGAGCUUGCUCCUUAAGAUUGGCGGCGGACGGGUGAGUAACACGUGGGCAACCUGCCUAUAAGACUGGGAUAACUUCGGGAAACCGGAGCUAAUACCGGAUAAUCCUUUCCCUCACAUGAGGGAAAGCUGAAAGACGGUUUCGGCUGUCACUUAUAGAUGGGCCCGCGGCGCAUUAGCUAGUUGGUGAGGUAAUGGCUCACCAAGCAACGAUCCCUAGCUGGUCUGAGAGGAUGACCAGCCACACUGGAACUGAGACACGGUCCAG
rnacentral:rRNA from 1 species